rnacentral:misc_RNA from 1 species
AAGUCGUAACAAGGUAACCGUAGGUGAACCUGCGGUUGGAUCAUUAACAAAUUCAACAUGAGCUGCGAGGUUUCGGCCUCUCAGCGCUUGAACAAUUUUGUGCACCGUUAAUAAAUUUUUGGGCCGGUUUGCUGUGGCUUUAGCCAGAGCGCGAAGGUGGAGGACUCGCGUCCAACACGCCUGCCCAGCUUAAAAUUAGACCUCAGUAGAAAAACUUGUCUUAAACUAUAAAAAUUGAUUUUUUUGAUAACAAAGAAAAAAACAACUUUUGACAACGGAUCUCUAGGCUCUC